UACCCUUCUCAAUCUUUGGCUAAGAUCAAGUGUAGUAUCUGAAACGUGAGCUAAUGUCCCACAAUGAUAUUAAAUUUAGUUUUUAAGGGGAAAGUUCCACUAGUCCACAAUAGCUUGCUGCUGGGAACUUCGAGCGUAGCCUGUGCGUUGCACUAUGGAACCUAGUAUAUUCAAUCUCC
rnacentral:snRNA from 1 species